ensembl:lncRNA
CUCCAGUACUCUUGCCUGGAAAAUCCCAUGGACGGAGGAGCCUGGCAGGCUGAAGUCCAUGGGAUCGCCAAGAGUCGGACGCGACUGAGCGACUUCACUUUCACUUUUCACUUUCAUACAUUGGAGCAGGAAAUGGCAACCCACUCCAGCGUUCUUGCCUGGAGAAUCCCAGGGACGGGAGAGCCUGUGUGGGCUGCCGUCUAUGGGGUCGCACAGAGUCAGACACGACUGAAGUGACUUAGCAGCAGCAGCAGCAGCUAGCCCCACUGAUGGAAGCAUUUUGCUCUGGUACCGCCCCAGCGGCCUGGCAGAGUCAUCCCAGGAUGGACGCCAGCGGUGCCUCAGGAUUUCCUGAGGGCAGAGUCCUGCUUGUCCGACUGUCUCAGCAGGUUCUAGCAACAGGCUUAAUUGUGAAGAUCACCACUCCAGGACUUGCAAGGGCACAGAAGUAGGUACCUUCCUGAACAGCUGUUGAGCCUGGUUCAAACACUUCAUUCCAGUGUCUCUGCUAACCGAACGUGGAAAACAGUCUAGUCAGCCUGAGUGCUGAGGCAUAUAUGUGGAAGACGUGCGCCAUCCUUGAGGAGCUCCCUGUGGGGAAAGUGACCAUUAAUAAAACAUUAAAGAGGUCUAGGGGUAGGGUAAAGGGCAGGAGGGAGUGGUAAGAGAGGACCCAGCAGCAAAGGAGAAAGACGCAGAGAAAGAAUGAGUGGCUCUCGGUGGGAAUACGGGAAGUGACCUGGAUUCGGCUCCGGGAGACUGCCCAACGUGGCAAGAGGAGGGAAGGAGCAGCCCAGCAGGGAGAUGGGGCUGUUAAACGACCCCCAACAGUCAGCACCCAGGAUGAAGGCGUGGUCUCUGCCUGGGUUGUUGCUGUUCUUGUGUCAGAGGACAAAGAGAAGACAGUGGAAGCACUCAGACUCUUGGAGUGUCUGCUCAGAAAUGUCACACUUCAUCUUAAUCCACAUUUUUUAUUGACAAAGCUAGUCACAUGACCCAGCCUGACAUUCCUGGGCUUUGGGAAGAAGUCAAGGGUGGUCUGUUCCACAAAGAAGCGCAACUGUUCUAGUAAUAAAACCCACCACUUUUCAGCCAUCAGUUUGUGCCAGGUACCUAAGU